GGGCACAAGGGGCGGGGAUCCACGCCGAGGCUCCACCCCUCCUUAGGGCAGAAAACGGGACGUGCUACUUUACCAGCACAUCACUGGGGGUAGGAGAUGAGGUCAGAGAACUCGCCAGGCCCAGAUCACCCAGCGCCUGAGUGGCUGGAGGUUAACUAGCAACCCAGGUGGCAGGUGGAAGAUGGAGAUUCACGAUUGCUUCUGGAAGACUCGCUGUGUGAUUCCGCCCACCCCAUGGCCAUUCCCUCCUCCUGAGAUGUUCAGAGCAGGAUUCCUACCUAGUGCCCCGCCAAACAUGGCCCACACCCCAAGUCACCCUGGACCACACCCGCCCCUCCGUCAUUUCCUACAGGCUUUUCCUGCAGAUUGAGAGAGGAAACUGGGCAGGGAGCACACCACUGAUGGGUGAAAUGAUGAUCUCACAGGAAACCAGACAAGCUAGAGUUGUCACCACACCCUGGACUCAGAGAACUUGGGUACUUCACCGACGGCCACCUCCCAUCGCCCUUUCAUUCUUCAUGGGCAGGGCCUUGCAAGCCUUGGUGAUGGAUUUUAUUCCAUGAGAUGGGGCAGCUGUUGCAGGAACACGAUUUGAGUUGUUUUUUGAAA
rnacentral:lncRNA from 1 species